rnacentral:rRNA from 1 species
AUUGUAGCAAUACAAGGCAUACGGCUCAGUAACGCGUAGUCAACCUAACCUAUGGACGGGAAUAACCUCGGGAAACUGAGAAUAAUGCCCGAUAGAACAUUAUACCUGGAAUGGUUUAUGUUCCAAAUGAUUUAUCGCCGUAGGAUGGGACUGCGGCCUAUCAGUUUGUUGGUGAGGUAAUGGCCCACCAAGACUAUUACAGGUACGGGCUCUGAGAGGAGUAGCCCGGAGAUGGGUACUGAGACACGGACCCAGGCCCUAUGGGGCGCAGCAGGCGAGAAAACUUUGCAAUGUGCGAAAGCACGACAAGGUUAAUCCGAGUGAUUUCUGCUAAAGAAAUCUUUUGUUAGUCCUAGAAACACUAACGAAUAAGGGGUGGGCAAGUUCUGGUGUCAGCCGCCGCGGUAAAACCAGCACCUCAAGUGGUCAGGAUGAUUAUUGGGCCUAAAGCAUCCGUAGCCGGCUCUGUAAGUUUUCGGUUAAAUCUGUACGCUUAACGUACAGGCCGCCGGGAAUACUGCAAAGCUAGGGAGUGGGAGAAGUAGACGGUACUCGGUAGGAAGUGGUAAAAUGCUUUGAUCUAUCGAUGACCACCUGUGGCGAAGGCGGUCUACUAGAACACGUCCGACGGUGAGGGAUGAAAGCUGGGGGAGCAAACCGGAUUAGAUACCCGGGUAGUCCCAGCUGUAAACUAUGCAAACUCAGUGAUGCAUUGGCUUGUGGCCAAUGCAGUGCUGCAGGGAAGCCGUUAAGUUUGCCGCCUGGGAAGUACGUACGCAAGUAUGAACUUAAAGGAAUUGGCGGGGGAGCACCACAAGGGGUGAAGCCUGCGGUUCAAUUGGAUUCAACGCCGGG